UGGGGAAUAUUGCACAAUGGAGGGAACUCUGAUGCGGCAACGCCGCGUGCGGGAUGACGGCCUUCGGGUUGUAAACCGCUUUCAGCCAUGACGAAGCUUUUGUGACGGUAGUGGUAGAAGAAGCACCGGCUAACUACGUGCCAGCAGCCGCGGUGAUACGUAGGGUGCGAGCGUUGUCCGGAAUUAUUGGGCGUAAAGAGCUUGUAGGCGGUUUGUCGCGUCGAUAGUGUAAACACGCAGCUUAACUGUGUGCCUGCUGUCGAUACGGGCUGACUAGAGGAGGGUAGGGGGGAAUGGAAUUCCCGGUGGAGCGGUGGAAUGCGCAGAUAUCGGGAGGAACACCAGUGGCGAAGGCGGUUCUCUGGACCUUUCCUGACGCUGAGAAGCGAAAGCGUGGGUAGCAAACAGG
rnacentral:rRNA from 1 species